AACGAACGCUGGCGGCGUGCCUAACACAUGCAAGUCGAGCGCGAAAAGGGCAACCUGAGUAGAGCGGCGCACGGGCGCGUAACACGUGGGUAAUCUGCCUUAGAGUCGAGGAUAACGUUCCGAAAGGUUGGCUAAUACUCGGUAAGUUUACGGUGUCUUCGGACGCUGUGGGAAAAGUCGGCCACUGUUUACAAGCUUACGCUCUGAGAUGAGCACGCGGCCCACCAGCUAGUUGGCGGUGCAACGGACCACCAAGGCAACGACGGGUAGCUGGUCUGAGAGGACGAUCAGCCACACUGGAAAUGAGACACGGUCCAGACUCCUACGGGAGGCAGCAGUGGGGAAUUUUCCACAAUGGGCGAAAGCCUGAUGGAGCAACGCCGCGUGUGUGAUGAAGGUUUUCGGAUCGUAAAGCACUUUCGACCGGGACGAAAAACCUCUGGCUAACAUCCAGGGGCCUGACGGUACCGGGAGAAGAAGCACCGGCUAACUCUGUGCCAGCAGCCGCCGUAA
rnacentral:rRNA from 1 species